GCAUCCAGUGGUUGUAAAUUCCCWCCGGGUUUGGGCCCUUGAACACACCUAGGUCCCGUUCCCCACCGUCACUUCCGUUCUCAGCCUUGUCGGGCUCAUUAAGCGUAUAUAGGCACCGGGUGUGCACGCCAAUCUGUGUGUGUUUGUUUGGUCCGUUGGGGAGUUGGCUCUCAGGUCAGAUGAGCGCUGGCGCCGUGCUCAUCGGGUUGCUGAGGGUUCGGAUCGUGGACAUUUAAUACUGAUUGCUGCUGUUGCCUAUUGUGCUCCCACAARCAGUGCAGCACCACAAACAAUGCACAGCUCUCUAUAUUUUUUAUUAGCUUGCUGGGCACAGCCUUAGGACUGGGUUGGGGCAAUGUGGGGUUUGUUCUCUUUUGUCUAACAUUAUUGUUAUUUGGUGUUUCUACUAAUUUGGCUCGCAUUUGUUUUUUGUUCCAAUUGCUUCUAGUCUUGUCCUAGGUUUUUUGAGCCUUAUUGCGUUUUAAAUUAGGAUAAUAAAGUCUAUUUAAUAUUGUAAAGGAAUGUAUAAAUAAAAUCUAUUUUGUAUACUA